AUGGACUUGCCAGGGCUGUUAGCACGAGACUUUAAUGAAAUUCUAUAUGCCCAUGUGAAAGAUGGUGGUAUUGCGCACCCGCAACGGUGCAUGCAAGCUUUCGGUGAAGCUCUUGCUAAUUGUGGGCUUGAUGAUUUAGGAUACACAAGUGACAAACUCUCGUGGCGGCGUGCACAUAUUCAUGAACGCCUAGACCGUGCUACUGGCAAUAUCACUUGGGCUGAUAUGUUUUCUUUGUUUGGUGUGUCGAACGAGGACUUCGACAAGUUUUAUCAUAGGCCGGUGCUGAUUGACACUGAUUUUCAGCUUGGGGUUCAACCGAGAGGACCAAGUGGGCCUCAUAAAUUUGAGGCGCACUGGUUGGCCGAAGAGGACGUUGAAACAAUAGUGCAAGUGGCCUGGUACUGA
rnacentral:rRNA from 1 species